CCUACGGGUGGCAGCAGUGAGGAAUAUUGGUCAAUGGCCGGAAGGCUGAACCAGCCAUGCCGCGUGAAGGUCAGUGCCCUAUGGGCGUUAAACUUCUUUUGUGCGGGAGCAAUAAUGCUCACGUUUGGCCAGACGACAGUACCGUCCGAAUAAGCAUCGGCUAACUCCGUGCCAGCAGCCGCGGUAAUACGGGGGGUGCAAGCGUUAUCCGGAUUUAUGGGGUUUAAAGGGGGCGUAGGCUGUGAGGUAAGUCAGCGGUGAAAUGCCCCCGCUCAACGGGGUGAAGUGCCAUGGAUACUGGCGGGCUGGAAUGCGGAUGCCGUGGGAGGAAUGUGUGGUGUAGCGGUGAAAUGCAUAGAUAUCACACAGAACACCGAUUGCGAAGGCAUCUCACGAAGCCGCGAUUGACGCUGAUGCACGAAAGCGUGGGUAGCAAACAGGAUUAGAUACCCUUGUAGUC
rnacentral:rRNA from 1 species